AAUGGGCGCAAGCCUGACCGAGCGACGCCGCGUGCGGGAUGAAGGCCUUCGGGUUGUAAACCGCUGUCAGUGGGGAGGAAGGCUCUGUGCAGAGCAGAGUUUGACCUAUCCGCAGAGGAAGUCCGGGCUAAGUUCGUGCCAGCAGCCGCGGUAAGACGAACCGUACAAACGUUAUUCGGAAUCAUUGGGCUUAAAGGGUGCGUAGGCGGUGCGAUAAGUCGGGUGUGAAAUCCCUCGGCUCAACCGAGGAAUUGCGCCCGAUACUGUCGUGCUUGAGGGAGACAGAGGUGAGCGGAACUGAUGGUGGAGCGGUGAAAUGCGUUGAUAUCAUCAGGAACACCAGUGGCGAAAGCGGCUCACUGGGUCUCUUCUGACGCUGAGGCACGAAAGCUAGGGUAGCGAACAGGAUU
rnacentral:rRNA from 1 species